GGGUAUAUAGCUCAGUGGUAGAGCAUGUGCUUGGUGUGCAUGAGGUCCUGGAUUCAAUCCCCAGUGCCUCUG
rfam:Camelus ferus unplaced genomic scaffold scaffold11054, whole genome shotgun sequence.